CAGUAGCCGCGGGAAUACGUAGGGUGCAAGCGUUGUCCGGAAUUAUUGGGCGUAAAGAGCUCGUAGGCGGUCUGUCGCGUCGAAUGUGAAAACCCGGGGCUCAACCCCGGGCCUGCAUUCGAUACGGGCAGACUAGAGUUCGGUAGGGGAGUCUGGAAUUCCUGGUGUAGCGGUGAAAUGCGCAGAUAUCAGGAGGAACACCGGUGGCGAAGGCGGGACUCUGGGCCGAUACUGACGCUGAGGAGCGAAAGCGUGGGGAGCAAACAGGAUUAGAUACCCCAGUAGUCCCUGUCUCUUAUAC
rnacentral:rRNA from 1 species